GACAGAGGGUGCAAACGUUGUUCGGAAUUACUGGGCGUAAAGCGAGUGUAGGCGGUUUGGUAAGUCGGAUGUGAAAGCCCCGGGCUCAACCCGGGAAGUGCACUCGAUACUGCCAAGCUAGAGUAUCGGAGAGGUUGGUGGAAUUCUCGGUGUAGAGGUGAAAUUCGUAGAUAUCGAGAGGAACACCGGUGGCGAAGGCGGCCAACUGGACGAAUACUGACGCU
rnacentral:rRNA from 1 species